GACCGCUCGGGAUAAUCGAUUAUCCCGUGCGGUCGGUAUAACAUGACCGCACGGGAUAAUCGAUUAUCCCAUGCGGUC
rnacentral:pre_miRNA from 11 species